CAGUUCCUAUAUGAUCACCGAAGUUAAGCAACAUUGAGCCUGGUCGGUACCUAGAUGAGUGACUGCUUGGGAAUACCAAGUUCUGUAA